GGUAGCAUCUCCUCCCGAGACCAGGUCUCAGGAGCCGGCCCUUUAAGAUUAAAGAAGGACCAGGUCCUGCCUGCCGAGCGUUGGCCCAAGGGAAGUUAACGCGGGUGCGCGGGGGGCCGCCCCGUGCCGGAAUCCAGCCUGCUCAUUGGUCAGAUCUGCGGAGGUCUGGGCCAAUGGGAGGAGGCUGCGCGAGGCCUGCCGCAGGAGCGGCAGCAAGGAGGGUUUACUGAGGACCUACUGUGCGCCAGCCCUGUGGACACAGAGAUGAACUAAGCCCAGUUCCUGUUCACAGAAGGCUUCCUGACUAGCAGUGUGACCACCCAUUUCUGAAGGUCCAGUACUGGAUAUCACUGUCUGAUCACAAUCACGCAUCCUUUCCUGCGCUGGACCAAGGCCCAGAUGAGCAGCUGGGGGACACAAGGCUCAAUGCAGCCGCAGCAGGAGGCUGUAGGCGGCAGAGUUCA